rnacentral:lncRNA from 1 species
UUCACAGUUACAUGCUGACCACAUCGCAUUGCAAAAUAAAUGUACACAUACAGGUUAUUCAAUCAUUGUGCCAACGAGCGUCUGCGAUGCCAAACCCUAAAAUAGAAAUCAGUUCUAUUUGUGACGCUGAACGCGGUGCAAGUCCUACUUCUACCAUCUUCUCAUUGGUUUAUAGAAGCAUAAAUCCACGUGCCACCUCCUCAUUGGUUAUACCCACGUGGGUGAUUGAAAGAUGACCUGAGGUCGGUUGGUUGGUCAGCUGUGGUAAUACACCUUAUUAUGAAAGUUAGAUGCCAAUCGCCAUAUAAAGUCCAAAGAAAAAGAAGCCUGGAAGGAGGAGAGAUGACUAGAAACGAUUCGGUUGAUCGUUUUAUCUGUGGAUUAAUUGUCGGAGUAGAGGACCUUGUGCAUUUCAGGUGAUGGCACUUUUAGUGGUGGAAGUGCAGUGUGUUUUAAUCCAUAUGAAGCUUUAACAGUAUAGUGACUUAGUUACUAAUUUGUCAUCUUUUCUCCCGGUGGAUCAUAAAGAUUUGGGAUUCUAAAGAAUAUCCCAUAUAAUAGAUGAUCACUUUGGGACAAAACAAACUGAGGGAACAGUCUUCACAGUUUUAAUGAUUUCUAAAUUAGUUGUACGCAGCAUAGAAAUUAUACAGUCAUCUCUGAAUGUCAUAGUUUUAAAUCUCACGUAACAUUUCUGGAUUUUUUUUUCUCUUGAUCAUCUCCUGGAUGAAAAGUGAGGAAAUUGACCGUUGCUUUUUAUUUUCACUUUAUUAACAAAAAUCCUGAAUUGCCAAAGUUACUUUAAUUGGAAAAUAAUUGGAAAGGCAACAGGCUUUUGAACCUUGAGGGAGAAGUCUACCACUGGGCAGCCCUGGGUGAUGCAGCCCAGAGAGAUGAUGUCCACAUGGGGGGAGAAAUACUGGGGCAGGGAGUCUGAGGUCACCCCUCCACUGGCCUCGAUUAGCACAAAAGGGAACUCCUCCUUCAGAAGCUGGGCUGCUGCAUGGAGUUCCUGAGAGAGGAAGGGACAGACGAGGAAUAGAGGCCGGAAGAGACGAGUGCGGGAAGAGACCGUGUAGGAAAGAAGAGAUUGAACGAAAUGCACAGCACUGACAUACAGGAGGAAGAAGAAUAUUACAUUGAUAGUCCAAUGUACAUGAAUGUCCAACGGAAAUAUUUCUUCUGCUUUAUCAUAAGCCCUCCAGUACGUCUCUACAUUACUUACAUUACUUCCCUGAUGGCUUUGGGAAGUCCUUCAUCAGUCUCACCUGUGGCUUAAAGUUGUCCAGCAUGACAAUGUCGGCUCCUGCCGUGGCCGCCUCACUGCCCUCCUCACGGCUGCCGCACUCCACCUCAAUCUUACUGCUGAAGCCACACACCGAGCGGGCGUCCCUCACUGCCUGGAAGACCCACAGCAUCACCAUCCCACUCAGAUCCUGUCUGUGCAUGGACAAGCCGCCCACCAACAUGGCAUACUUCUCCACCAGCCGGAACCCAGGGGUGGUUUUACGCGUGCCAGCCACAUGGCCAUGCCAGCCUGCCUCCCUGGCGAUGCUCUGUAGCUGGGAGCAGCGGGUGGCUAUCCCCGAGGCCCGGGCCAGGCAGUGGAGGGCCGGUCUCUCCCCGAGGAGGAUACACCUUGCUGGGCCUCUGACCACAGCAGUCUGGGCCACCGCAUCUGGACCUGGUGGAGUGCAGCUGAGCUCAGUGAAGAAAGGCCUGCCUGCCAGCAUGCUGCACGGCGUUUUACACAACAACCUGGCCUCGACCUCAUGUGACCCCACACACAGCCCUGCAGGGUCAAAGUUCGGUGUGUCCUCUGCCAGCCACUCCCGUGCCAGCCGGGUCAGCGUGUGGGGAGGGAGGGUGUGUGACAAGUCAUACUGUGGAGUUGUCAUCUUGAGAGGUGAGGUAAAACGUUACGCCGGAAAGUUCUGUUAAGAAUGGAGAAAGGGGUUAGUUCCAGUGCUUUAAAUCUGAUGAUAGUUAACAGUUUGUAGUUUAAAUUGUACCCUACGAAAUGUCCUGAGUUCUGGUAUGAAUGAAUCCCUGCUCUCAAUGUGCUUUUUAGACCUGUUGCUUUGUAACAGUGUCCGUCUUCAGGUUAAGAUUCACCACAAACAAAGAACGUUGGUGUGGUGGCCUCAAGGGGGCCGAUGUGUUUGAAAUGCCAGAGCCAAUUUCUGAUCCCUGUCUGCUCCUGCGGGUGUGGUAAUAUAACUGGAGUACAAGUAACGAGUGCAGAUUGCAAAGAGCUCUCUGUAAGCCACACCCUAGUGGGCGGAGCUAGGCAUGUUGUUUGUGAACUUGGACACAUUUUAGUAAGGAGAUAUCAUACGGAGAUAGAAUCUCAUUUUACAAUGGGCCUGCGGUGGUUCUGUGUAGUCAUGCUAAUAUACGAGUCAAGUACAUUGCAGUCAAUUUUAUCUAUGACCUAAUAAGUAGGAUCUUAGGGAUGCGCUCACUAACCCCUUUUCUAUUUCUCUGCAUCUCCCAGGACAACGGCUGAGUGCACCCUGGCCGACACAUGGACGUGCCUGGUCCCCCCUCUCUGCCUGUUGCUGCCUCAGUCUCCCCCUCAAGUCGCUGCCCCCCCCCACACACACACCCAGAAACGUGGAUUUCUUUACUUACCAUGACAUCUAUGAAAAGCCAUCUGACCAUAGGGUCUUGAAGUGUUUGUACCCUCUAUAGCCUAGCUCUGGGUACUGUCUGAGCCUGCUGGUCACAUAUGACCGUGAUUUAAUACUGGAUGGAAAACAGGCUGUUGCUCUUUCCUUAUUGAAAUGCAUGGUGUAUAAUGAGGUCAAUGUGUCAAGUGUAAGAAAUGCAAAUUACAAUGAAUUAACAACAGCGGUCUUGAUUUUAUGUUUCGUACAGUCCGAUUUGGCAAUUCUGCUCAUUGACAAGACAACCCUGGUUUAAAAUAAUAAAUAAUUUCACCUUUAUUUAACCAGGUAGACUAGUUGAGAACAAGUUCUCAUUUACAACUGCGACCUGGCCAAGAUAAAGCAAAGCAGUUCGACACAUACAGAGUUGCACAUGGAAUAAACAAACAUACAGUAGAAAAGAUAUAUAUAUAUAUACAGUGUGUGCAAAUGAGGUAAGAUAAGGGCGGUAAGGCAAUAAAUAUGCCAUGGUGGCGAAGUAAUUACAAUAUAGCAAUUAAACACUGGAAUGGUAGAUGUGCAGAAGAUGAAUGUGCAAGUAGAGAUACUGGGGUGCAAAGGAGCAAGAUAAAUAAAUACAAUAUGGAAUCAGUAUGGUUGUCUUCAUUGUUGUCAAUAAGACCUUAUUGUAAACCUUGUUCUGUCUCUACAUCAUACACAAUCAUCCAAGUUGGGAUCAAUAAAUGAUUACUAAUAGGGUUGAGGUCAAUUCCAUGGAAAAGCAAUGCAGAAUCAUUUCAACCUUGCCAAUCAUAACCCAAGAGCUAAAGCUGUAUUAGACCAUCUAUAAAUCUGAAUGGUUAUAUUUUUCCAGCCUCUCCCCCAGUUUUACAAAAACGUGACAGGGCCAGGCUGUUGCAAUAGCAGAAUAAACAUUCUUUAUUCUGUUGGUGUGUGUACCUUUGUGUGCUUGUGUGAUGGAUGGGUCAAUGUUUAUAAUAAAUUGAAUGACAAUUCAGCCCAGUGGAUCUUUAUAUUCUACAGAUUCUGAACACUCAUGGAACAAUUGUUACAUGUGUUUUUGUUGCCAUGUAGGCCUAGUAUUUGGCCUUUGUUGGGGUUAGCCAAGGGGAAUGUAAGUCCUUAGGUGCUGGUAGCUGAAGAUGUGUUAGCUCCCAGGUGAUGAGGCAGUGAGUGAGAGACUCUGGACAGUGGACACACAUGUACACUGUGUUCAACACAACGUGUCAAUAAAAUAAAUACUUGCAGUAUUUAUGAAUUUUGAUAGUUUAAGUCAACUGUAAUUCCACGGUCGAGCAUCUGUGCAGUCCCGUGUGGCUCACUUGCAAGGUUGUGUGUCUGAUUCUCAUGGGGGACCAGUAUGAAAAUGUAUGCACUCACUAC